AGCAAAUGAAGUAAAAACACCCAUGAGGGUAAUUUUUCAAGAGAUGUGCAAGCAUGGAAUGGUGGAAAAGAUGGUGGAAGAUGAAAACUCAACUGAUUGUGAGUUGCAUGGCGAAGUGGGUCAUACCCUAGAGGAGUGUCCAGAAUUUAAGAUCUUAUUGCAGAAAAUGUUGGAUAUGAGGUUGAUCGCAGUAGAGAGGGGGCCUUCGUAUCAAG
rnacentral:lncRNA from 1 species